rnacentral:rRNA from 1 species
AAUGAACGCUGGCGGCGCGCCUAAUACAUGCAAGUCGAGCGAGAAGACGUAGCAAUACGUUUGUAAAGCGGCGAACGGGUGAGGAAUACAUGGGUAACCUACCCUAGAGUGGGGAAUAACUAGCCGAAAGGUUAGCUAAUACCGCGUACGCUCCUUGGACUUCGGUUCAGGGAGGAAAGCGAUGCCGAGGGUAUCGCGCUCUUGGAUGGGCUCAUGUCCUAUCAGCUGUUGGUGAGGUAACGGCUCACCAAGGCUUCGACGGGUAGCUGGUCUGAGAGGACGAUCAGCCACACUGGCACUGCGACACGGGGCCAGACUCCUACGGGAGGCAGCAGUAAGGAAUAUUGCGCAAUGGGCGAAAG